rnacentral:sRNA from 1 species
GAUGUCGGAAACGGAAAGCGAUAUAGC